GCGCUAUUGGAGCGGCCGAUGUCGGAUUAGCUUGUUGGUGGGGUAAAGGCCUACCAAGGCGACGAUCCGUAGCUGGUCUGAGAGGACGACCAGCCACACUGGGACUGAGACACGGCCCAG
rnacentral:rRNA from 1 species